UAAUGGCAGGUCAGCAUACUGCCGUGAAUACGUUCCCGGGCCUUGUACACACCGCCCGUCACACCAUGAGAGUUGGGAAUACCCGAAGCCUGUGAGCUAACUUUUAGAGGCAGCAGUCGAAGGUAGAAUCAAUGAUUGGGGUGAAGUCGUAACAAGGUAAC
rnacentral:rRNA from 1 species